UUAUGGCCAUAUCACUUUGAAACACUUGUUCUCGUACAAUCACCGAAGUUAAGCAACCUCAUGACUUGUAAGUAACAAGAUGGUUGAUCGUUUGCGAAAUCCAGGUGCUGUAAG